AACGAACGCUGGCGGCAGGCCUAACACAUGCAAGUCGAGCGGACCCUUCGGGGUUAGCGGCGGACGGGGGAGUAACGCGUGGGAAUAUGCCCUUCUCUACGGAAUAGUCCUGGGAAACUGGGGGUAAUACCGUAUACGCCCUUUGGGGGGAAGAUUUAUCGGGGAAGGAUUAGCCCGCGUUGGAUUAGGUAGUUGGUGGGGUAAUGGCCUACCAAGCCGACGAUCCAUAGCUGGGUUGAGAGGAUGAUCAGCCACACUGGGACUGAGACACGGCCCAGACUCCUACGGGCGGCAGCAGUGGGGAAUCUAAGACAAUGGGGGCAACCCUGAUCUAGCCAUGCCGCGUGAGUGAUGAAGGCCUUAGGGUUGUAAAGCUCUUUCAGCUGGGAAGAUAAUGACGGUACCAGCAGAAGAAGCCCCGGCUAACUCCGU
rnacentral:rRNA from 1 species